UACGGAGGGCGCAAGCGUUGUUCGGAAUCAUUGGGCGUAAAGCGCGUGUAGGCGGCUUGGCAAGUCGGGUGUGAAAGCCCUGGGCUCAACCCCGGAACUGCAUUCGAAACUGCCUAGCUAGAGUCCCGGAGAGGAAGGCAGAAUUCCCGGUGUAGAGGUGAAAUUCGUAGAUAUCGGGAGGAAUACCAGUGGCGAAGGCGGCCUUUUGGACGGCGACUGACGCUGAGACGCGAAAGCGUGGGGAGCAAACAGG
rnacentral:misc_RNA from 1 species